GAAUGCGAUCCUUGACACCAUGCUUGCGGCUUGUCUCGCGCUAUCAAUGACGCUCAGCAACGCGGAAGCCAUUAGCCAUAUGGCAUAUGCCGAGCUGUACCGUCUAUCCGUCUAUCCGUUCGUUCGUUCGUUCAUUCGUUCGUUCCUUCCUUCCUACGAUGCGCGAUGGCCGCGUUCGUUUCUUCACUACUCAGGAAUCUUUUAACGAAGCGAGGAUCGAAUUCAUUCGCCUGGCUCCGUGUGCAAGGCUCGUACAUCAACCUGUCAUAAUUAAUAGCGCCUUUUUGUGCCCGGACUUCUACAACCCCUUCUAUCUUGAUACUUUGUCUUAGGAACGGCGCAACGUACUAGAAGGGCUAUUUAUACUAUUGUACUAUCGGCACUAUGCGAGAGUCACGUCCGACACACGAUAUAUUUAUAUUCGAGAGAUCGUACCAUGAGAGGGAAUACCAGAAAAAUCUCAGGAACUCUUGGAUAAUGUAAGCAGUCCCAUUGUAACGUCUCGCAUCGUAAAAACUCAAUAAAGUCUAUCUGUAUUUUCUAUCCGUCUCUUUUUCUCUCCCUACGUUUGUUAAGAUCGUCGAAGUAACCUUUUCUCCGAUUUUCAGUCACUAUCACCAAUAUUACUACAACCAUCUACUAACAUCAGUAAAACCCAGUAAUAACAGCAGUAGCAACAUCGCUAUCAGGCAUCGUGAAUCGGCCGUCGUCAUCGUGCUCUUUUGUCUAUCUCAUUCUUUCAUUCUAUCUUUUUAUCCCUUUCCUUCUCUUAACACAGCGUACUUGUAUUUAUGGUAAUUCAGUCGAUGCGUUUUAUCGACAAUGGCAGUACGUACCGCAAGUAUUAAAAGCCUCCUCUGUCAACCCUUUCUUCGAGCCCUCGCUCUUGGGGGAUGCACCCUAUCAUAGUCUCUCUCUCUCUCUCUCUCUCUCUCUCUUUCUUUCUUUCUUUCUUUCUUUCUCGUUCCAUCCCUCCCAAGGGAAAGUAUCGACUCCUGUUCCCUUCUCCCCCACUCCAACUCUUCUCUCUCAUCCUACUCACGGAUCUCAAUCGUUCGCAAAAAAUCUCAUUUAUCCAUUGUGUUCCGUGUUACUCGAUGGGUAGAGAAAUGAGAAAGAGAGAGACAGAGCAAUCGUAGA